rnacentral:rRNA from 1 species
AGCUCCAAUAGCGUAUAUUAAAGUUGUUGCAGUUAGAACGCUCGUAGUCGGAUUUCGGGGCGGGCCGACCGGUCUGCCGAUGGGUACGCACUGGUCGGCGCGUCCUUCCUUCCGGAGACUGUGCCUACUCUUAACUGAGCGGGGGCAGGAGACGGAUCGUUUACUUUGAAAAAAUCAGAGUGUUUCAAGCAGGCAGCUCGCUCUUGCAUGGAUUAGCAUGGGAUAAUGAAAUAGGACUUUGGUGCUAUUUUGUUGGUUUCGAACACCGAAGUAAUGAUUAAAAGGGACAGUCAGGGGCACUCGUAUUCCGCCGAGAGAGGUGAAAUUCUCAGACCAGCGGAAGACGAACCACUGCGAAAGCAUUUGCCAGGGAUGUUUUCACUG